ACGCUCGACCCUACGGGGGGCAGCAGUGGGGGAUAUUGCACAAUGGGGGAAACCCUGAUGCAGCGACGCCGCGUGAAGGAAGAAGGCCUUGGUUGUAACUUCUGUCGUACGGGACGAUAAUGACGGUACCGUACAAGAAAGCCACGGCUAACUACGUGCCUAGCAGCCGCGGUAAUCUGAGCGGGCUGGCGAAGGC
rnacentral:rRNA from 1 species